GUGCCUAUUCGAGCACUUCUCACUAGAUUAUAUUUGGUUCCAUAGCUCCAGAAAUCAGAAGAAAGAUGGGAAGCUUUCCACUUCCCUCGUCGUCGUCGUCUCUACUGAUUUCCAGUUCCUCUUCCAUUUCGGGAAGACCAUCAUCCACAAUUUUUUAUCCUCUCAUGCGCUUUAGAAAGGCGCAAGCACUCUCCAUUUCCUGCGAUUACUCCUGUUUCGAAAUAAGGGAUGUGUCUUAUCGACCUCCAGGGACCAAGAUCAACCUAUUGAGUCAAGUCAAUCUUUCAAUUCCUGAGAAAAGUUUUGGCUUGAUAUUUGGACGCAGUGGCAGUGGAAAAACUACUUUAUUGCAGCUGCUUGCAGGGUUAAGCAAACCAACGUCAGGUUCCAUAUGUGUGCAGCGAUAUAGUGAUGAUGGUGAAAAGAUUAAGUCUCCUGAACCCUUACAACCCGAAAGAGUUGGCAUUGUUUUCCAGUUUCCUGAGAGAUACUUUGUUGCUGACACAGUUCUUGAUGAAGUUACAUUUGGGUGGCCAAGACAAAAGGGUGGCCUUCAAUUAAGAGAGCUUCUUGCAUCGAGACUUCAAAAGGCCAUUACCUCGGUUGGUCUAACAGGAAUGUCUUUGGACAAGGAUCCCCACUCAUUAAGCGGUGGCUACAAACGUCGGCUUGCCCUUGCUAUUCAGUUAGUUCAAACACCAAAUUUAUUAAUAUUGGAUGAGCCUCUUGCUGGUCUCGAUUGGAAGGCUCGUGCAGAUGUGGCGAAAUUGUUAAAGAAUCUAAAGAAGGAGCUAACUUUACUUGUUGUCAGCCAUGACCUCAAGAUACAAAAAACUAGGGGUGGCCACUAUUUUUCAUAGGUGAGGUAGAAUUGCAUUCAACUCUCAACUUGAGCAUAUUCGCACAAGGGUAUUUAAUUGGAAGACAAUAAAUCAUCAUUUUGUUUCUGGGAGUUGGCAUCUUUGGUCGAUCAAUCUUGGAGGAUGGAAAUGGGAGGAAUACUUAGAAGAGAGCCACUACCCGUUUAAUACUCGGGAUUUAUUAUGUUCCCAGCCAUUAGUUCUGAUGCAAUGGAUUAGGCAUUAGCACAGCUAUUAGGCCUCUUUAUUGUCGUGUUCUUUCAGUCAAGGCUGAUCCUAGUUAGACUGAGAAAACAAUAAGAAUUUAGUAGUAGUAAAUGAAGCUCAAAAGACAAAAAAAGGCAUGGCGAGUUACCAUUGUAACAAGAGUGAAACUCUCAUCUUUCACUUUAAUUAGAGGUGUCAAAUAAGCAGGUUGGGUUAACGUCCCAAGCCGCCCAUAGUUUGCUUGGGUCAAGAUGGGUUGGUUUAGAAAGGGCUGAGAAGCGUGUCAUAACCCAAUCUGCCCAAGUAGACCAAAUAUAUUUGUCAUAGCUCACUAUGCAACCAAAAUCCUGCUUUCUCAAACCAUGCAGAUCUUAAAUAAUGUAUGUGUAUUUCGGAUGAACCGAAGAAGACUUCGAAGCAUUCAAAUCAUAUGCUCAUAUGCAACUUUCUGUGUUUCUAUGUUA